UACGUAGGUGGCAAGCGUUGUCCGGAUUUAUUGGGCGUAAAGGGAGCGCAGGCGGUGAUUUAAGUCUGAUGUGAAAGCCCACGGCUCAACCGUGGAAUGGCAUUGGAAACUGGGUCACUUGAGUGCAGAAGAGGAAAGCGGAAUUCCAUGUGUAGCGGUGGAAUGCGUAGAUAUAUGGAAGAACACCAGUGGCGAAGGCGACAUUCUGGUCUGUUACUGUCACUGAGGCUCGAAAGCGUGGGGAGCAAACAGG
rnacentral:rRNA from 1 species